rnacentral:lncRNA from 1 species
AUAAAUUUGUUUCCGGAGCCACAAGCAUGAUUAGCUUAUCAUUGAACAAGGCUCAAGAUAACCAUGGCCCAUAAGAGAGGAUUUAAUCGACAAUAAAUUAAAUUAACCAAUGAUCGAAGAAUAUGUCUGCAGCUAGCAAGCUGUACCGCCCACAACUUUGUUUGACUUUGACGUGAGAAAUCAUGACAGCACAAACAAAUUGGCGGUGAAAAUUAAAAAAAAAAAUUGAUAAAAUCUGAUCAUCAAAAAGAUGUCCAUUCCCUUUUACAGAUCACGAACUUCGGUCUGAUUGAUCAUUGAUCAGAACUUCAUAAGUAUCGUUAUCAUCUUCCACUGAAAGUAGUUCUAAAUUUGACUGGUACGUCGGUGGGUAAUGAACGGUUGAUGAACCAUCCACGUGUUCCACGCUUUCCUAGUCUUCCGGCAACGCCAACAACAGCA